rnacentral:tRNA from 1 species
AGCAAGAUAAGCUAAAUAAGCUAUUGGGCUCAUGCCCCGAAAAUGAGAUACUCGCUCUCCUGCUA